rnacentral:rRNA from 1 species
UACGUAGGGGGCAAGCGUUGUCCGGAUUUAUUGGGCGUAAAGAGCUCGUAGGCGGUGUGUCGCGUCGGCCGUGAAAACCUGGGGCUCAACUCUGGGCGUGCGGUCGAUACGGGCAUCACUUGAGUUCGGCAGGGGAGACUGGAAUUCCUGGUGUAGCGGUGAAAUGCGCAGAUAUCAGGAGGAACACCGGUGGCGAAGGCGGUUCUCUGGGCAUUACCUGACGCUGAGGAGCGAAAGUGUGGGGAGCGAACAGG